rnacentral:rRNA from 1 species
GACGAACGCUGGCGGCGUGCUUAACACAUGCAAGUCGAACGGAAAGGCCCCUUUGGGGGUACUCGAGUGGCGCACGGGUGCGUAACACGUGAGUAACCUGCCCUUGACUUCGGGAUAACUUCAGGAAACUGGGGCUAAUACCGGAUAGGAAUCCUUGCUGCAUGGUGGGGGUUGGAAAGCUUCGGCGGUUUUGGAUGGACUCGCGGCUUAUCAGCUUGUUGGUGGGGUAGUGGCUUACCAAGGCUUUGACGGGUAGCCGGCCUGAGAGGGCGACCGGCCACAUUGGGACUGAGAUACGGCACAGACUCCUACGGGAGGCAGAAGUGGGGAAUAUUGCACAAUGGGCGGAAGCCUGAUGCAGCAACGCCGCGUGCGGGAUGACGGCCUUCGGGUUGUAAACCGCUUUCAGCAGGGGCGAAGCUUGUGGUGACGGUACCUGCAGAAGAAGCACCGGCUAACUACGUG